UGUUUUCAUAUUUGAUUUAUUUUUAAUGAAGGUAAGAAUGUUCAAAUAAAUGAACAAACAUUUAUAUUAAGCUAGGUUUCUUAAAAAUUUUUGUAAAAUCUUUUAAUGUUAUUAAUUUGUUCAGUUGCUUUUCUUUGCUCUUCUCUUUCCUUCCUUUUUAUUCCAUAUUUGUAAUAGAUAUGUUUUAAACCAAUCAUCAUCAUCAAGCUUUUGUUUCUUCUUUUUAUUUGGUAAAGCUGAUUUAAUAAUAACCAUUACCUUUUUAGUUUUUGAUAUAGUAGCAGUUUUGGCACUGAAUUAGUAGAAGAAUCACUUACUGGUAUCUCUGACAUUGAAGACAUUAGGAUUUCACUUGAGGGUUUAUGGCUUUAUUCCCAGAUAAAUGUUUAGCUAUAAUUUCGAAAAAUUCCCAAUUAAUUUUACUUUGUUUUUGUUUUUAUUGUAUGUAUAACAGUGGUCUCAAACUGACAGCCCACAAAGCAAUUUUUUACAGCCUGCAAAGAUGUUUCUAUCUAUUUGUUUUAAUAUGUGCUACAGUCAGAAAAUUAUUACAAUUUAAUGUUAAUAAAAUAACAA
rnacentral:lncRNA from 1 species